UACGAAAACCCGGAAAUAUCACCGUUGCCGUUUUUUACACUAUGACGCAACUCAUCCAUGGACGCUCGUCUGCUGCUGAAUUCAUGUUUUACAGUUGAAAAGAAUGGAAAGAAAUAUAGUAGUCCGAUAGAUAAUACGAGGACCUCUUGUUUUUCAAAACUGUUGGGUCAAACAGUUAUUGUAAACAGAUAAAUUGAAAUGGAUAGCUUGUCGAUUAACUGGAAGAAAGCGGUAAACGAAACGCACACAAACAAGAAAGUUGUGUUUCUUUUUGAUGAAAUACAUACCCACUAUUUUGUACUUGGAAAGCACAACGAAAGCUGACUCGAAAUCAUGCUGUUUGGGCCCUCGUGUACAAAGUACAUAGGAAGUGGACUCCUUGAGAAGGUGAAAGGUCUGCUUUACAUCAUUUUCAAUGGAUGUACAAGUACAAGUACUUUGAGAAGUAGGAGAAGCUAAUCAACAGGACAGAAUUCAUUUGGGUCAUUGCUGUCUAGAUUAUAUAGUGGAUUCAUAGAUAAUCGAAUAGAUUUAUGUGCAUAUGAGCACAGAGGAGCAGUAGUCAAUGAAUAAUUUUGUGAGGAGAGGUUUCUGAAUAAAUGUAGUCAAAGAACUUGAAAUUGGUUACACAGCUACUUUUGCAUUGCUUGUUACCAAAUGAAAGGAAAGGACAGUAUUGACAAGGAUUGAUAUCACUGGUGAACAUGUAUGUCAUGUAGGUGUGAAAGUCCUGCAAAACAGAACUGAUAUCAAAAUACCAUCCACAGUGAAUAUGGUGAAGAAUAACCAAUACAUGUACCAUGAAUACAGGACAUGGAAGACCUCACAAACUUGGGAGUUUUACAAAAAAUAGAACAUUUAAAUUUACAAAGAAGACAUUUAUUUUGACAUUCAUAGACUUGGAAAGUAAAGAAAUUAGAAUGUGAAUAAAAAUCCUUGGAAAUAAAAUUUUGAACUUUGAAGAA